CCUACGGGAGGCAGCAGUGGGGAAUAUUGCGCAAUGGAGGAAACUCUGAUGCAGCGACGCCGCGUGAAUGAUGAAGGCCUUCGGGUCGUAAAGUUCUGUCCUUGGGGAAGAUAAUGACGGUACCCAAGGAGGAAGCCCCGGCUAACUACGUGCCAGCAGCCGCGGUAAU
rnacentral:rRNA from 1 species